AACAAAGAAGUAUAGUGAAAAGUUGGUUUUCCAAAUUCUACAUAACCUCUCAAGUUAUUUUUUAUAUAUUAAACUCAAUGGUAUGCACUUAACCUCCAUUCGUUCGAAGAAAGAAAAAAAAAUUUCUUUCCAUUCUUCUUAAUCUUCAAACACAAAUAUAAAAUUUGGAUGUUCGAUGUUAAUAUUUUUAAUAGUCUAAAUCUUAAU
rnacentral:lncRNA from 1 species